rnacentral:rRNA from 1 species
UUUCUGGAGGAAGGUUCGUCCGCUCCAGGUUAGUCGGGAGCUAAGGUGAGGCCUAACGGCGUAGCCGAUGCACAGACGGUAGAGAUUCCGUCACCACCAAAAGAGUUAAACACAGGGACACAUAUGAAGUCUCGGAGCCGGGUGUUGGUUCCGGUAGCGAUCGAGGGAAGUUAGUACCGAAGUCCGAGAUGGAAGAUGGCGAGAAAAGCUGUGUGUAUUUCUGCGGUGCCCGUACCGCAAACCGACACAGGUAGGUAGGAAGAAGAUUCUAAGGCCAACGGGAGAAGGGUUGUUAAGGAACUCGGCAAAUUGACCCCGUAACUUCGGGAGAAGGGGUGCUCCAGAGAUGGAGCCGCAGAGAAUCGGCCCAAGCAACUGUUUACCAAAAACACAGGUUUGUGCUAAAUCGAAAGAUGACGUAUACGAGCUGACGCCUGCCCGGUGCUGGAAGGUUAAGAGGAGAUGUGCAAGCAUUGAAUCGAAGCCCCAGUGAACGGCGGCCGUAACUAUAACGGUCCUAAGGUAGCGAAAUUCCUUGUCAGGUAAGUUCUGACCCGCAUGAAAGGCGUAAUGAUUUGGGCACUGUCUCAACAGCCCGCCCGGCGAAAUUGUAGUACCGGUGAAGAUGCCGGUUACCCGCGACAAGACGGAAAGACCCCAUGGAGCUUUACUGUAGCCUAAUAUUGGGUUUCGAUGUUGCAUGCACAGGAUAGAUGGGACACUGGGAAACAGGAGCUUUGGCUUCUGCGGAGUGGCCGUUGGGAUACCAUCCUUGCGAUAUUGGAAUUCUAACCUGCGGCUCUGAAUCGAGUCGGGGGACAUUGUUAGGUGGGCAGUUUGACUGGGGCGGUCGCCUCCUAAAGAGUAACGGAGGCGUUCAAAGGUUCGCUCAGCUUGAACGGAAAUCAAGCAAAAGAGUGCAAACGCAGAAGCGAGCCUAACUGCGAGACUGACGGGUCGAGCAGUAACGAAAGUUGGAGUUAGUGAUCCGGUGGUAUGUGAGUGGAAAUGCCAUCGCUCAACGGAUAAAAGUUACCCUGGGGAUAACAGGCUGAUCUCCCCCAAGAGUCCACAUCGACGGGGAGGUU